rnacentral:misc_RNA from 1 species
UACGGAGGGGGCGAGCGUUGUUCGGAAUUACUGGGCGUAAAGGGUGCGUAGGCGGCCCGCCAAGUCGGAAGUGAAAGCCCCGGGCUCAACCUGGGAAUGGCUUUCGAGACUGGCGGGCUCGAGUUCCGGAGAGGAUGGUGGAAUUCCCAGUGGAGAGGUGAAAUUCGUAGAUAUUGGGAAGAACACCGGUGGCGAAGGCGGCCAUCUGGACGGAUACUGACGCUGAAGCACGAAAGCGUGGGGAGCAAACAGG